rnacentral:rRNA from 1 species
UGAACGCUGGCGGCAGGCCUAACACAUGCAAGUCGAGCGGUAGAGAGAAGCUUGCUUCUCUUGAGAGCGGCGGACGGGUGAGUAAUGCCUAGGAAUCUGCCUGGUAGUGGGGGAUAACGUUCGGAAACGGACGCUAAUACCGCAUACGUCCUACGGGAGAAAGCAGGGGACCUUCGGGCCUUGCGCUAUCAGAUGAGCCUAGGUCGGAUUAGCUAGUUGGUGGGGUAAUGGCUCACCAAGGCGACGAUCCGUAACUGGUCUGAGAGGAUGAUCAGUCACACUGGAACUGAGACACGGUCCAGACUCCUACGGGAGGCAGCAGUGGGGAAUAUUGGACAAUGGGCGAAAGCCUGAUCCAGCCAUGCCGCGUGUGUGAAGAAGGUCUUCGGAUUGUAAAGCACUUUAAGUUGGGAGGAAGGGUUGUAGAUUAAUACUCUGCAAUUUUGACGUUACCGACAGAA